CACGUAGGCGGAUCGAUCAGUCAGGGGUGAAAUCCCAGGGCUCAACCUUGGGGCUGCAUUUGAUACGUGUAGACUAGAGUGUGAGAGAGGGUUGUGGAAUUCCCAGUGUAGAGGUGAAAUUCGUAGAUAUUGGGAAGAACACCGGUGGCGAAGGCGGCAACCUGGCUCAUUACUGACGCUGAGGCGCGAAAGCGUGGGGAGCAAACAGGAUUAGAUACCCCAGUA
rnacentral:rRNA from 1 species